GCUGAGCACUUUAGCAGUGUUCAAAACCGGUUCCUCAUUCCCUCACUCACUACUCCCUAUAUAGUGUUUAUUAAAUAGUGAACUAUAGAGGGAACGACCAAACAAGGUACCUUCGGCCACUACACUGAGAAAGA